AGAGGGUUAUUAGCCUAGACGAUGAAGUUUUAUGAUCCUUUUUUUUUUUGUCAUUACUCCCACAUAGAAGAGACUUUAGCUUUUAUAAAUUUUUAAUAUAGUACGAAGAAUCUUUUUAACAGGGUUAAAAAAUACUUGAUGAUAAUUGCAGUUUUUCUCCACGGUCAACUCGGAGGGGCCAUGCAUCUUAUUGGGGUCCAAAAGAUUAAAAUGGAUAACAUAAGAGU
rnacentral:lncRNA from 1 species